CCACCUGAUGUCAGAUGAUACUAACAGAACCCAGAGAGGUUCCUGCUGACCCUGGCACUCGCCCGUGUAACUGGGCAUAAUUAAUUAACCAGUGCUGAUACCAAGGACUAAAUAAACCAAGACCAGGAGACCACACAGCCUGAAUUCCAUGAGUGAACAGUGCAGAUGGCCUGAACCAGAGGAAAGAGGUUCAAGUCUGGGAAGUGGCAAAAAGUUGAUUGCAAAGAAACUGGUAUGCUGUGGUAUGAUUCCUGUUUCUUAAAGAUUAAAAGGGAACCAGCAGGAGCUUGGGCAAGAUGGUGGCAUAGAGAGGAGU